ACAUCCAGCGAACUUGGCAGAGAUGCCUUGGUGCCUUCGGGAACGCUGAGACAGGUGCUGCAUGGCUGUCGUCAGCUCGUGUUGUGAAAUGUUGGGUUAAGUCCCGNAACGAGCGCAACCCUUAUCCUUUGUUGCCAGCGAUUCGGUCGGGAACUCAAAGGAGACUGCCGGUGAUAAACCGGAGGAAGGUGGGGAUGACGUCAAGUCAUCAUGGCCCUUACGAGUAGGGCUACACACGUGCUACAAUGGCGCAUACAAAGAGAAGCGACCUCGCGAGAGCAAGCGGACCUCAUAAAGUGCGUCGUAGUCCGGAUCGGAGUCUGCAACUCGACUCCGUGAAGUCGGAAUCGCUAGUAAUCGUGGAUCAGAAUGCCACGGUGAAUACGUUCCCGGGCCUUGUACACACCGCCCGUCACACCAUGGGAGUGGGUUGCAAAAGAAGUAGGUAGCUUAACCCUCGGGAGGGCGCUUACCACUUUGUGAUUCAUGACUGGGGUGAAGUCGUAACAAGGUAGGCGUAGUGCU
rnacentral:rRNA from 1 species